rnacentral:rRNA from 1 species
AGCGAACGCUGGCGGCAGGCCUAACACAUGCCAGUCGAACGAACCUUUCGGGGUUAGUGGCGGACGGGUGAGUAACACGUGGGAACGUGCCUUUAGGUUCGGAAUAACUCAGGGAAACUUGUGCUAAUACCGAAUGUGCCCUUCGGGGGAAAGAUUUAUCGCCUUUAGAGCGGCCCGCGUCUGAUUAGCUAGUUGGUUGAGGUAAUGGCUCACCAAGGCGACGAUCAGUAGCUGGUCUGAGAGGAUGAUCAGCCACAUUGGGACUGAGACACGGCCCAAACUCCUACGGGAGGCAGCAGUGGGGAAUCUCGCGCAAUGGGCGAAAGCCUGACGCAGCCAUGCCGCGUGAAUGAUGAAGGUCUUAGGAUUGUAAAAUUCUUUCACCGGGGACGAUAAUGACGGUACCCGGAGAAGAAGCCCCGGCUAACUUCGUG